UACGGAGGGGGCUAGCGUUGUUCGGAAUUACUGGGCGUAAAGCGCACGUAGGCGGACCAGUUAGUUGGGGGUGAAAUCCCGGGGCUCAACCCCGGAACUGCCUCCAAAACUGCUGGUCUGGAGGUCGAGAGAGGUGAGUGGAAUUCCGAGUGUAGAGGUGAAAUUCGUAGAUAUUCGGAGGAACACCAGUGGCGAAGGCGGCUCACUGGCUCGAUACUGACGCUGAGGCGCGAAAGCGUGGGGAGCAAACAGG
rnacentral:rRNA from 1 species